rnacentral:rRNA from 1 species
AUUGAACGCUGGCGGCAUGCCUUACACACGCAAGUCGAACGGCAGCAUGAUCUAGCUUGCUAGAUUGAUGGCGAGUGGCGAACGGGUGAGUAAUACAUCGGAACGUGCCCUGUAGUGGGGGAUAACUAGUCGAAAGAUUAGCUAAUACCGCAUACGACCUGAGGGUGAAAGUGGGGGACCGCAAGGCCUCAUGCUAUAGGAGCGGCCGAUGUCUGAUUAGCUAGUUGGUGAGGUAAAGGCUCACCAAGGCGACGAUCAGUAGCUGGUCUGAGAGGACGAUUAGCCACACUGGAACUGAGACACGGCCCAGAGUCCUACGGGAGGCAGCAGUGGGGAAUUUUGGACAAUGGGGGCAACCCUGAUCCAGCAAUGCCGCGUGUGUGAAGAAGGCCUUCGGGUUGUAAAGCACUUUUGUCCGGAAAGAAAUCGCACUUACUAAUAUUAGGUGUGGAUGACGGUACCGGAAGAAUAAGGACCGGCUAACUACGUGCCAGCCGCCGCAGUAAGAC